rnacentral:RNase_P_RNA from 1 species
UAAGUUAAUAUCUUUAUCGCAUUAAUUAUAAUUAUAUUAAUGAGGAAAGUCUGGACACUAAAGAGAAAUACAAUGGAUAACAUCCAUACAUCGUAAGAUGAUGAAUAGUACAACAGAAAGUAUGUAUAAAAUUAAAUUAAUAAAUUUAAUUUUAAUAGUGAAAUCUUGUAAACUCUGUAUAGUGAAAUGUCAAAUUACCAUAAACUUUCUCGGUUAUUUUAAAUAUGGUUGGUAGACAGAUAGAUAUAUAUGGUAACAUAUAUACUAGAUAAAUGAUAAAGAAUAUUUUAUAAAUAUUACAGAAUCCGGCUUAUAUAUUAACUUAUUUU